AUCCUAUCUUUCUGAAUCUUUUCCAACAUCUUUCCCACCACAGAUGUAAGGCUCAAUGGUCUAUAAUUAUCGGGACUAUCCCUACUACCCUUUUUGAACAAGGGGACAACAUUCGCCUCCCUCCAAUACUCCGGUACAAUUCCCGUGGACAAUGAGGACAUAAUGAUCUUCGCCAGAGGCUCAGCAAUCUAUUUCCUUGCCUCGGAUGCAGAACUGGGAAGCGCAGAUGGAGUUCAACACAGAUGAAGAGGUUCAUUUCUGCAGGUCAAAUUUGAACACAGAAUAUAAUAUUAAUGGAGGAGGCAGCUUUUUUUGUGAACACAGUUCUUAAAUAUUCUCUCUCUCUUCGGCUGUCACUCAGAAUCCAGCUCCAGCCUCUUAAAGUGACACUCGGAGUUAAGGAAACAGGAGCUGGUAACAGGUGUGUCGGUUGCUUUGGGGUGCACACUGACUGGAGGGUAGAAGGUGGGUUUUUCGGUGAGCACAGAUUUGUGGGUGCACACCGAUUUGCAGAUAUGUGAAGAGUGGGUGUGUUUGCGGAUUCGGGGGUGCACUCUGACUGGAGGGUUGAAUGUGGUUUUUUUCGGUGAGCACAGAUUUGUGGGUGCACACCGAUUUGCAGAUAUGUGAAGAGUGGGUGUGUUGGCGGAUUCGGGGGUGAACACUGACUUGGGGGAACCGGUGGAUUUCGAGGUGUUACAAAUCUCAUGGUUUUUCCCUUUAUACGGACUUCAAUAAUAAAUGCAAUAUGAAAUUUGA